GAGACUGGUUUCGACAAACAGACUCAUUUUGAAGGAUGAACUCAUUAGCAAAACACUGAUAGCACAGCUUGAGUCCUUUGAACAAUCCAACCAGCUGGGAGAUUAAUAUUUUUGUGUGUUUCGUCUUGUUUUGGCUUGACUCGUGACCAACAGAAACUCCAUUUAUUGUGUACAUAGGAACUCAUGAUGAGUUUAACUCCGUACACUGAGAGAAAAAAUUAAAGAAUGCAGAAAAUUGGAAAACAAACUACAUAACAUGAAAUUAUUACAUAACAGCUUUCGUUUGAAUUGUCACACACAAAGGCCAUUUUGUUUCCAUUCCACGUGAGCUCUAGUCGCCAUGAAAAACUUGCUUACUUUCCAGCUAAUAUCUCAGCAAUAAAAAAAAGCUAUUAGAAUUUGUUACUAUGUCUAAGAAUGGUUAUUUUCCCUUCCCUGCCCCUCAUCCUGGCUACAUUCGUUGUUUCUGUUUUCUCACUUCAAGUUUUAGUUUCCUGUGAGCCAAUAUCGUUUCCUUUGCUGACACUUCGUUUUCAUGAUAUAGCUUUGCUUUUCUCUUGUCUUGUUUGUCUGGAAUUGAACCAAGAGAGAGCUUCGUUUCUUGUGGUUGUUAGUUAGUUCCUCAGCCAAAUCUUGUUAUUGCUUAGUAUUAUAUAAAUUGAAAAAUAAAGAAAUAAGGAAAACAUCGUAAGUAAACUUAGGAAACCCAAACUCGCACACGACAUCGCCAAAAUAGGUGCGCCCCAGGAGCCCAUGACCCUGGGCUCCUAGUUCACCCUUGUUUCAGUCUGGGUUUUUCCCUCUUUUUUUUUUUUUAAUUUAUUCUUUUAAACUAUUCUCGGAGUUUUACGCCCUCUAAACAAAAUUAAUGUUCCGCAGCUUGUCAUUUGGCGUGGCUCGUGUUUAAGGCACGUGUACAUUUGCACGCGCUGAAUUUACUUUAAUUGUCAUAUCUUUGGAAUGUUUGUUGUGACAGUAUCUACUAUGUAUAGCCUCUAUCUUGUGAGAUAUAAAAUCUUGAACAUUCGCUGAGCCAACGAAAUGUUAUGUUAUGGUUGUGCUAUUCUCAUAUCUUUCCUCAUUCGUUGCGGAAAAGGCCAGAAAUCUUUAACUGCGCAAGGUUUAAUCCAUUCUACCUCUUUAAAUGACAAAUGAAGACGUUGAGCAACGUUCAAAGACAGAUUAAGAGCGGGCUUAAAAACUGUCGUGUAAAAAACAAGAAAAAAAAUAGUGUCUCGAAAUUGACACUGGCUUAAGGAUGGCAGUUGUGAAAUUUUAGAAUUUCUUCCGCAAGUUUGUCGGUGGAAUUUUUCACGUACGGUAUAUCGCGUUACGUUGUGUGGUAACAAGCAUUUAUGGUAAUAUUUCACACGAUAUGCUUGUUGAUCGUCAAAGAAAGUUUGCGGGCAAGAUUAGGAAUCAUUUAAAAAACGCCUCAGGGUUUUGUGAGGUUCUUGCAGUUUAUGCAGCCUCAAGGAAAUGCAAACGGUUUAAUUCUCUUUCCAUGUUGUCGGACAUUUAGUCCUGGCAAUGUGGUAACACAUCAAGAAAAUGAUUUUAGUUGAGCGCCCUUCACAGUGUUGGUAAUACUUGGAGAAAUUACGCAUCGUUUAUUAGUGAUUUGCUUAAUCCAGAUUAUGAACACUACUUUAAAGAGCCCUUUUUCUCUUAAGUAUUUCCGUUCGCGUGGAAGAUCUAUGGAAAAGAUGAUAGGAAGGACUGGCGAAACAAUAUAGCAAGAAAUUAAUGUAUUUCCGGUGCAUUGAAAAGAAAACAAUAAAAUUGUUCCUUAUCGGUCUUUUUCAGCAAUUAAUCAAAUGUUUGUCGCUCAUGGCUGAUUUUAAUGUAGAGUUGUGGUAUAUAGGCCUAGUUUGAAAGAAAUCUGUUUAAAAUGUCAAAGAUUCACCGAACAAGUCUCUCUUUUAUCGUGUCGUGGUCGGAAGUUUUCAAAAGUCAACAAAAAAAUUUGCACAGUCAAAUAUCGAUGUUCCAGAGUGCAGAAUAUGUCAAAACAACUUCAAAAUAAACAUCUUUUGUGUUGAGGCAGUGGACUGUAAAAUGGCUUCAGGGCUUCGUAAGCACUUUAAUUAAAGCCGUAAAAUGUAUUUCCAAUGAACACAGUUUGUGUAAACUUAGCUUGUGUAGGUUUUUAUUGGCCUUGAGCGAUGUUACAAACAUAAAUUCAACAUGUCUCUAUCCAUUUUGUGUUACCUUUAUUGCGUUUUGUAAGCUCGUAGACAACGCAACAACUUGCCUUGAAUAAUUAAGAUACAAGACUCGACUUGAACUGAUGAAGAAGGGACAGUGUUUUAUAUCUCGUGAGCUGGUUUUAUACUCUUAUCUUUCAAAAAAGCCUAUAAUCCCGACUGUUUUUGUUUUACAAAGUAAACUAAAACAAUUAAAAGGUUUUAUCUCUUGCUAUCAAUAGAUGUAUAGUUUUGUCUGUGGUGAAAGAAAACCGCAAUAUUUUCUACCCGCCAAUUUGUGCAGUCACAAGACAACAAUUCUUGUUUUGGAAUUGCGGCAACGAGCAAUGUUUUUCAAAAGACUGCCCUUGUGUUGCGCCAGGCUGUCACCUGCUCAGUUGUUUGCCCACUUGAAAUACCAUUUGGUGAAUGUAUUCAAAUCCCUUUUUCUUGAUAAUUAAACCCGCUGUUCGGCUCUUUUUGUCGCUAUUUUACCACCGUAAUUUCAUCCUAUUUAUGAGUAGCCGACGCCGAAUUUCCCGCCUUCAUCUUUCAGCGACAAAACGGCAGUCGGCUUUAAAGAAAAACGUUUAUUCAACGAGUGAUUGAGUACACGAUUGAAAUUGGUUUCCCGGCAGUUUUUGAUUAAAUCCGUUGUCUUGUUGAGAACAAUACUCUAGCAGCUAAUAUAUACAGUUUACUAAACUUUCUGUAACCACAGUCAUUUUCUUAUCCGGGAACGACGAUUCGUAAUAGUUUUAAUGGCUUCUUAAUGGACACGCAGAUAUUCAGUUUAAGAAAGUCCCAUAUAUAUGUAUAUUUUUUUUUCAAAAAGUAUUGCCUGGGGUUUCAAACUGACUUUUACCCUUUAAGGAGCGAUAUUGCUCAUCUUUUAUCGUCUAGAAUCUUUAAUUAAGUUCAAAACACUUAACUGUCACAGGCAAGUGAAACCCUCUGCGUGCCUCGUGAUAACCCACUGACGAAAAUGUUGUUUUCGUUGUAGAAAUGUGUUCAGUCCCCACUUCGAAAAAAAUGUGUGCCCUCUUUGGUUAGCAGCAGCUUUGAAAGCUCGAACUUGCUCAGUUCCGACGGAGUUUGAAAAUUAAAACGUUCCGUAGAACAGUUUGUAAAUGCACAAUUAUAUAAACACGUGAAAACCUUUCCGUACUUUUACUGGUUUCAGUUCGCCUGUCAAACCCAUUCCAAGGCUGCAAAACAAAAAAACCCUUUUGGAAUCAAGUUUGUUUCAUGCCGAACAAUACUGAAAUUACACGUCAUCAGUAGAUAGUCUUCCUGUUCCUUUUUUUUGUCCAUCUUCCGUUGUUUCGAAAACACUGCCCUUGAUAAAUAACAUGGCCAGGCAGAAACGCCUGCCCACUUCCGCAACAAGUUGACGUUAAUGAGAUAAUCUUAUGUCCAGUUCAGCAAAUCUUGACGUGAAGACAAACCAAUCUCAAGUGCCAUCAUUCGCGCUCUUACACUCAGGAAACCCGUUAAGUGCACCAUCUUGAUUGGCUUUUUCUUCUUUCGUUUUCUUCCCCCCACGCUUUUGAACUGUUAUUUGUCAGGUUUAAACUAAACCGCAAAUAAAUUCGAGAUGUUUCGUUGUCUAGAAUGGAAAGUUCCAUGAGAGAAUGGUAGCUGAGGCUUUUAGGGAAUUUUUUCGUAGCUAAACCUGAUGUUACCUACCACAACACGGUUCGUAUUAUCAUCAUUUUUUUAAGCUAUUUACUCGCAGAUCUUGCCAUAGUGCCCUUAACUGAUGGUUCUCGUUUUUCUCACUGUCUGUCUGCUGGACAACGUAUCGAUAUUGUAAGGUGAAUUUAUCCCGUGAUCUCCUGGGAUUUUACUUUGAAAACAAAACAAACCACUGAAGUUUAGUCAAAAUAUGUUAAGCCGACAAGGGUACGAAAACAAGGGUUUUUGUUAUGGUUUAGUGUAAUCUUGUGGCAGUCCAACACGUAUGCUAUAUGUGUGGUGAAGCCAAGCUAAAUUUGUUCAAAUUUGUCUUUGCUUUUUAUUUCGUUACAUUUCGAUAAAUAUGUCGUAAUCGAAACUCUUUUGUGGUGUUGUAAAUCGGAUCUCGCUCGAAGUAGCUGCGUUUUAAAAGCUUGUAAUAUGCCUGGAUUCAUUUUGUUUGUUUCAGCCUAUUUUUCUAACCUGGGAAAACUCUGAAAAGUGAUAUUAAUUUCAAGAGAUCAAAACACAGAUAAUUUUUCGCAUCGAGUGCCUAGUUUGAAUUUGUUUUGUUUUUGAUUUUCCUCUCGCAAUCAGUACUGCUGCCCCGCGAUUUCGAGGGCUGAGAAGAUAAGUUAUUGGGUCAAAACACGAAAACAAAAGGCUAAUUUUCCUAAUUUUAGAGUUAUAGUGUCGUAAUAAUGUGUGAUUAUGUUGUGGCCAAAUUUCUGCGAGUGCUGAAUCAGCACACGACAGCAUCACAUGCCGAAACACUUGGGAUUAUUCAUUUUCGAAGUAGCAACAUCAAACGUCAUCGAAGAGCAUGAUAUACUCUGAUAUCAGAAGACGAAAGCGUCAACUCUGAUCACCCAGAAUUUCAGUGAGUUUAUAAUAAGCUUCUUAAAAGGUCUUGAUCUUUUUUGUAUUGGAUUUUCCCCGCACGUUUCCAUGCGGCUUUUCCGCAGGUGAAAUGAAAUUGGAAGAUUGCCAUCAUUAUAUAAUUGUACGUAACGUAACCAUGACAUUUUCCUAAAUGCAGUAAAUUCUGUGUAGAAUUUACAUAAAACUCUCUUCCGAUCGCAACUGUUUCACAAAAAACAUAUUAAAAAAAAAAAAAAGAAUUGGAGGGACUUUAACUUCAGUAUUUAUGAUCUGGAUAAAGAUGCAAAAAUCACGUCGCGGUCGGAGACCGUAUUGUAAUACUGCUUUGUUCAAAGUUUGUGCCAAUGUUUAUCUUUUUGCGUUUUCUCUAUUCAACAAAACGAAAGACAGGCAAUUUUGGCGAGAUGCCAUCUAUAUUUGCCUAAGACACACACUUAAGAAAGUCUUAACUUCCAUGUGGUUUGUCCACCGUAUCUAAUACGAAAAUCCACCCACAAUAUGAUGUUAAAACUUAACACGUCAAUUUGAAGUCAUGUUUAUAAACGUACUCGUAUUUUCGUAAUUUGCUCUGUUGUGCGCCCACGGUGGAAACCCAUUUAAAUUUGCUCGAAUGUUUCAAGUGAUCAAAUUUUUUUUUUGUGAGUGCAUUCGUUGAGUUGAUGUCUAGGUACCCUUCUAGUUGCAGAUCUUGUGUGUUUUGUCUUGUACAGGCUCGUCGCUCUAUUGUUUACUUUAGACCUGUGGGUCUAUAGGAAAUUACCAAGGUCGCGCUCAUAAUUUUGGCGACAUUUAGAAAGUGGAAAACACAAUUCAUGAGUUAAUUUGACAAAUAUAGCAUAAAAGGGGGUUCCUUUUUGUGUUCAAGCAACCGUAAAAUAAAAGGCCUGGCAUUCAUCAAACGGUCAGCCAAUCAGUGUCCGUCUGGUGCUGUCAAUCAAAAACCGGGCUAACAAAGGGCAAUAAAGUCGUGUGUUAGGCACGAGCGUUCGUUAGACCAUUUUAAAAGGCAGCGGCGUCAUAACACACAACAAAAAAAGCCAUCGUCCCGAAGUACAGAUGAGUUUCUUCCAAGGAGCAAGUUUCUGGAUGGCGUCGGCUUUUCUUAUUCCCACAGACGAAUCUCCGACCCGUAGGAGAGCGUGCAUUUUAGUUGGGAGAGAGCUUCGGAAGAUCGCCGAUGACCUUGAAGCCUCCGCAAGAACCGAGCAAGUUAAAGAACAAGACAUUGUUGUCGGAGCGAUGAAGACGGUGUGCGUGGUCGCUGGAGUUGUGUUCCUCGGCAGAGCUGUUUGGAAAUUUCUGAACACUUGAGAAGUUACAUGUUACACAAACUAACGAGAUCUUACGUCUUAGAGGCUUGCUCUCUCCGAAGAUGGAACGAAUCGCUCGAAGAAAUUAUUUUUAAACUACGCAACAUGACUCUUGAUUGCCUCGAGUGACAUGACAUCAGUUGUUGGCCUUCGUGUUUGAUUUCCAUCGACUGCUGAUCGUGUUACAUCGCUUCAUUGUUGACAAAUACAAGAUUAAAAGCCACUAAAGCCCGCACUCGGGAAAUCGCAGGAGCGACUUAUCCGUUCUCCAUAACAACAGGGCAAAGCAAGUCAACUGCUGUUUUUUCAUCCUAAAGCGUAGUUGGACAAGAACUUCGUUUUACAGAACUGAAGGUUUGAUUUUGUAUUACAGGCAUCCGCUGGCGUCUAAGAGACAGUAAGAUUCAAAUGCAGACGUUUGAUCUCGAAUAGUUUGCACCGGCUGUAUAUUGCUAAGCUUGCAUUGUAAAGAUUCGUUGUCGCCUAAGGGAUCGAUGUUAUUGUGUCGUUUCGUUAUCACUGCUGACUGGCAUGAUUAGAUAAUUGAUAGACUGUGACUCGUGGAACUAUUAUUAAUAUUGCUCUUUGCGAAGACACGCGCUUAUCGGGAAGGUUAGAAAAAAAAAAAAA